rnacentral:rRNA from 1 species
GACGAACGCUGGCGGCGUGCUUAACACAUGCAAGUCGAACGGAAAGGCCCUGCUUUUGUGGGGUGCUCGAGUGGCGAACGGGUGAGUAACACGUGAGUAACCUGCCCUUGACUUUGGGAUAACUUCAGGAAACUGGGGCUAAUACCGGAUAGGAGCUCCUGCUGCAUGGUGGGGGUUGGAAAGUUUCGGCGGUUGGGGAUGGACUCGCGGCUUAUCAGCUUGUUGGUGGGGUAGUGGCUUACCAAGGCUUUGACGGGUAGCCGGCCUGAGAGGGUGACCGGCCACACUGGGACUGAGAUACGGCCCAGACUACUACGGGAGGCAGCAGUGGGGAAUAUUGCACAAUGGGCGGAAGCCUGAUGCAGCAACGCCGCGUGCGGGAUGACGGCCUUCGGGUUGUAAACCGCUUUCGCCUGUGACGAAGCGUGAGUGACGGUAAUGGGUAAAGAAGCACCGGCUAACUACGUG